AUGGGUGUCCCAGGACCCCAAGGACCUCCUGGGCCACAGGGACCCAGUGGACGCUCCAUUAUCGGGCCCCCAGGUUCCCCAGGAGAGAGAGGGCAGAAAGGGGAUCCAGGACAACAAGGACAACAAGGAAUUCCUGGAAGACCUGGAGCUCCAGGAAGGGAAGGACCCCCAGGACCCAGAGGACUUGUGGGUAAAGAUGGACCACAAGGAAGACAAGGCCCCCCAGGAUCUAUGGGAACUCCAGGAGCUCCAGGAUCCCCAGGAAGUACAGGUCCUCCUGGAAAACAGGGAGAACUGGGACCGCCGGUGAGUCGUCAUAGAUUAAACCUUUUGUUCCAAAGUAUUUACAUUUGGGGGUUUUUUUUGUUUCUUUUUUUAGCCAUUUAGAUUGGAUUUUUGUAGCACUUCUGUAGCAAAUCUACUUUCUCUUUGAGACCAAAGUGCAGCUGAGCAGCAAAUGUUUUGCUCUGAUAAAAAGCUUUCAUGCUUGUAUGUGACGCCGUGCACUGAAAAGAUCUGCUCAUCACACAGCUUAGUUCCAGUAAAAAACACAUAAUAUGUUUAAAUGUUGCAGUGUUUAAAAUCUUAGCAGAUCAAAAGAACUUUUCUUGACAGUCAAGUUAAAAAAAUGUAACUUUGAAAAACAGAAUUGGUAUUAAUUGUUCUUUUGUAUAAUCCCCUGUUAAAGUUUAUUAAAGAAUCCAUAUUGUUUGCAGAGAAAUGCAUGUGUUGCAUCGCUAAAAUUAUACUGAAAUGGUUUCAGAAAUCAAAAUGACUCUCAGAUUGAUGAUUAUUAAUAAAACAUUUAAAAAUGUUUAAUUUAAUGACAAAGUAGUAAAGCUAAAAAGAAAUGUCCACAUAAGAAAGGCGGAGUACAACCUGGAGAGGUCACAGUCUGAUGCAGACCGGCUAAAAACUUCCUUUAGUCUUUGCUAUAGUUUUAUUUUUUUAAACUGCUCUCAUCUUUCAGGGUUCUCCUGGAAGCAGAGGAGAAAAAGGUGACCGGGUAAGCAUUCAAAUGUUAAAGCUUCUGUAAUGUGUUUUAUAAAUCAUAAUAAAAAGCUAGUAUUUUAAAUAAAGCAGCAGCUCUGUGGCCCCUGAGACCUGAACUUUAGAGGUUUCAUUUAAAUAUUUCUGGCAAAUAUAUUAAAUA
rnacentral:lncRNA from 1 species